GUCUUUUUGAUAAUAAUUUAAAGUUUAAUCUGCUCAAUGAUUAUUUAAAUUGCCGCAGUAUUUUGACUGUGCAAAGGUAGCAUAAUAAUUAGUUUUUUUAUUGAAAACUUGCAUGAAUGAUUGGACGAGAAAAAUUCUGUCUCUUUAUUAUUUUUUAUUUAAUUUAACUUUUAAGUUAAAAGGCUUAAAUUAUUAUUAAUGACGAGAAGACCCUAUAGAGUUUUAUUAUUAAUUUAUUAUUAUUGUUUUUAGAAUUUAAAUUUAAUAUAUUUUAAAAAUUUAGUUGGGGUGACUAAAAGAUUUAAUUAACUCUUUUAAUUUAUAAUCAUAGAUUUAUGAACAUAUAAUCUAAAAUAAUAAAUUUAAAUUAAAUUACCUUAGGGAUAACAGCGUAAUUUCUUUUUAUAGUUCUUAUUGAUAGAGAAGUUUGCGACCUCGAUGUUGGAUUAAAAUAUAUUUCGGGUGAAGAAGCUUGAAUAUUAAGUCUGUUCGACUUUUAAAAUUUU
rnacentral:rRNA from 1 species